ACAAGCCCAACUGCUUCGGCGGACGGGCUGCAUUGAUUAGACCGAAACCAAUCUGCUUUUCUAAAAACGGUAUUGUGGUGUAUCAUAAUCACUUGCGGAUCGCACGCUUCGGCGGCGACGUUUCAUUCAAGUUUCUGCCCUAUCAGCUUUGGAUGGUAGGGUAUUGGCCUACCAUGGCUUUAACGGGUAACGGGGAAUUGGGGUUCGAUUCCGGAGUUGGGAGCCUGAGAGACG
rnacentral:rRNA from 1 species